rnacentral:rRNA from 1 species
UACAGAGACUGCAAGCGUUAUUCGGAUUCACUGGGCGUAAAGGGUGCGCAGGCGGCCAAGUGUGUGAGGCGUGAAAGCCCGGGGCUUAACCCCGGAAUUGCACCUCAAACUACAUGGCUAGAGCAUUGGAGAGGGUAGCAGAAUUCACGGUGUAGCGGUGAAAUGCGUAGAUAUUGGAAGGAACACCAGUGGCGAAGGCGACUAUCUGGGACAGUACUGACACUAAAACUCGAAAGCGUGGGUAGCAAACAGG